UCGGCAAUAGUUUAGUGGCUAGAAUUUCCGCCUGUCAUUAGUUCUUAGAACAGCACGCGGGGGACCGGGGUUCAAUUCCCCGUUGCCGAG
rnacentral:tRNA from 1 species